rnacentral:rRNA from 1 species
CCUAAACUUACCCUGAGGCCGAAAGGGGGGAACAAACAGAAUUGUUUCCCUGUGGUCACCCGUAACGAUUUGUCUAAAGGGUUGGGGUUUUCCCCCUUUAUUCGGAAGUUAACGCAAUAAGCACCCCCCCUUGGGAUUACGGCCCCAAGGUUAAAACCUCAAAGGAAUUGGCGGGGGCCCCCCCCAAGCGGUUGAACCUUGUGGUUUUAAUUUGAAGCAACGGGGAAGACCUUAACCCAGGUUUUGACAUCCUGGGACAACCCCAAGAAAUAGGGCUUCUCCUUCGGGAGCUAGAGUCACAAGGUGGUGCAUGGUUUUCGUCAGCCCGUGUCGUGAAAUUUUUGGUUUAAGUCCCGCAACGAGCGCAACCCUUGAUUUUAGUUCCCAUCAUUAAGUUGGGCACUCUAAGGAGACUGCCGGUGACAAACCGGAGGAAGGUGGGGAUGACGUCAAAUCAUCAUGCCCCUUACGACCAGGGCUACACACGUGCUACAAUGACGGUCAAAGAGCAGC